UUUUUUUUUUUUUUUUUUCUUCCCACUAUCAAGAAGGGAAUUGAAUGAACUUCAAUUUGCGUUGAUGAGUUUUUUAAGAACAGUUUCAGAGUGUUGAUUUUCCCCGUUUUUAAAUGGCUCUUGUAAGCACAGUGGGCGGGUCACAGGAAUAGUCGGAGUGUGAUGGGUUUGUUCCGUUUUUCCUGCACAAGACUCAAAGGAUUAAAAAACUUUUUGAUGUGAUGGAAUUUUUUUAGAGGCUAGCAGAAGAGUAGCCUGGCCCUCGAUGUGAAGCCCCUGGAGAACUCCUGCUUAGAAACUGGCCUCCAGAUGCUGAAGGACUCCUGUGUCUCUCUAGCCUUGGGAGUCGCCAGUCCCCUCACAAUCUUACUCUUUCAUCUGGCCUGGGAACAGGUCUAUUGGGUUCGGGGUGGUGAUGAAACUCAGAGUUGCUGAACCAGGUUUGCAGCUGCUUUGUUGCACUGACUUCUGCCUAGCCCUGGCUCCAGCCAUCCCACAACUGCAGGGAAACUGCGUCGUUUCCUGGGCACUAAACAUUCCUGUGGGCCUCAACCUUUGCUAAAGUCGACCUGGUAGCAUUUGUCUGCCUAACGGUGCUGUGAGAUCCGCGCUCUGUUUCUGUGUGCAUUUUUCAUGGACAUUCAUAAGGGCUCUGCAGAAGAGACAGGAAAUGACCGACCCAUGCAGGACUUUCUAUGCUGAGCAGAGCGUGCCGCUCAUCCUUGCCUGUGGGAACGAGGCGGAGAUGCCCUGGUGGAGGGAGCCGGGUUGUCAAGGAGCCUUUUCUCUGGUCAGAAGUUGUAAUGAAUGGAUACCAUAUGUUCAUAGCCCAGUGCUAGAACAUGUUUGAAAUGAAUGCAACAGUCCCUGUUUUCAGGGCGCUUUUUCUUUUUGAUUGCUGUACUCAGAGUACAAGCUUACAUCCCAGUGUUCGCAAGGAAAAAAUGUAGCUGGAGCCAUCACAGGAAGAAUUCCAGAUGUUUGAGGCACUAAAGAAGGACUUGGGGAAGUCUUCACAAGGACUUUGGCUAAGUUGUAAAUGAAGGGUGGGUGAGCAGAUGCGUGUUUGUAAAAUUAUUUAUUUGUAUUUUAUGUACAUUGGUGUUUUGCUUGGGUGCACGUCUGUGUGAGGCAGUCAGAUUUUGGAGUUACAGUUGUGAGCUGCCAUGUGGGGGCUGGGAAUUGGGCCUGGGUCCUCUAGAAGAGCGGUCAGCAAGUACACUUUUCUGCUGAGCCAUCUCUCCAGCCCCUAGCAGAACCGUUCUUGAUAAACUGUUACCUUCUCAACCCCUUUUAAUCAGGCCCUUCUAUGCUUCAGUGUAUUCUCUAUCUGACAAGCUUGAGUUAAAAGCAAGGGUUUACUUGAGGGAGGGGAGUACAUGUAUUGAUUGACAAUCUAGAAAGCUGGGCUUGGAAAAUGGGUUUGAAUCCAGAGAGGCUCAGCGGUGCCAGAGCCCAGCCAGGGUUAGGAUAAACAGCAGCCUGCUCAGGACCCCGCCUUCCUGACGACCUGUUGGGUCCUUUCCUGAGUAGGAGCAGGCCUUAAUCAGAGUUGACUUGUAGGCAGCCUUGUCAAGACAUGCCUGGUGGGCAUUCUCCAGAGGACCAGUGGGAUGCUCAUGGUGUGUGUGCGUGUGCGUGAUGAAACGAAAUGACAGCUGUCCAUUGCUGCUCCUCUCUGGUGAUGAUGUCAUUACGGCCUUCACCUAAGGCAGCUCCAUCCAUCCAUCCCUCUCGCGUUCCAGGAUCUCUGCAUUGUCAAUUUGCAGGGCAUCUCCUGGUGCUGUUUUGUUGCUGUUUUCCCUCAAACUGUUCCUUUUUCCUUGAAUGCGCUUCCAUCCCUUUAGCUCUUAGAACCCCUUUUAUCCAGGGUUCAGCUUUCAGUCGCCCAGAGUGGUCCUUUCCUCCUUACAGCCUUACAUGUUUGAGGCAUCUGACUCCCUUAUGGCGAAGCUGGUGGAACUGGUUGGGUCUCUGUCCUCUCUGGGAUUCUCUUGAAUAUGUUAGACAAGCAUUCUACCACGAGUACCACUAGGCUGCAUCCCAGUGUGCCUCCCCCCUCACCCCCCACUUUUAGGCACAGUCUCAGUGCAGCAGGCCCACCUCAGAUUCAGUCCUCUUGCUUCAGUCUCCCAAAUGCUAGGGAUUAAAAACCCAGGGCCUUAACACAUGUCGGACAAGCACCCCAUCAUUGAGCUGUCCCCCUACCCCCCGUGCAAAACAAUUCAUUCAAUCCUUCUUUUUUCCUUCCCUGCCUCUCUCUUUUCUGCCUUUCUCUCCUUUUUCUUUUCUUUAUUUUUAUCUCUUCUUGGGUACGCCAUCUUUUUGUAGCCUCGGCUAGUCUCCAGGUCUCACCCAGCCUCAUCCUGUGUUGGGAUUGUGUCCUGGACGCCAUGUCCAGCUGAGUGCUUUUUUCCUUGCUCUGUAGGGUCCCACGAGGCACGGAAGGCCAUCCGAGCUGUCAGACACAGAGUGAGCAUCACAGACAAGUGCCAAGUGGAUGGUGGUGUAGCAUUCAAGAACCUACUGUACUGUGGGUUUGGUCUUUGUUUAUGGAGGUUUGAGAGUGUGAUGGUGAAUGGCCGAUUCUUGAGGUCUGACAUUUUUUACCUAAUAGUCUUGGUACUAAUAAGGGUUGAGGUCCCUUGCUUUGCGGACUCCGUCCCUAAGAGCACAAUCCAGGUGGGGUGGUUUGUGCCUGACUUUGUUGACAGUGUGUGGGUUAUCUGUCGUUGUGAAACCCAAGGCCCUCUUGAAGCACAGGAUCAUGUAGGAUCAGUCCCUUGAGCAGCUUGCUCAACUUUUAGACUGCUCUUUCAAGAGUGGGAAAAAAAAAGAGCCACGUAACUCAUGUAACCCUAGGGUGGGGGCAGGUAAUGAGCGAGGAAAGACAGGAAAAGCCUGAGAUGACACAUCCUUUCCUCCCUGAGCUUGGGUGUUCACCCCUGCUCACUCCCCAGGGAAGCACUCACUGAAUGUCCACCGUGCCCACCUGCUCCUGGGCUUGGUUCAGUGACAGCCGAGUGAUACUGGCACCAAAGCAUUCAGUGACUGUGAGCUUGAUUGCAAAUCCCAGCUCCACUCCCUUGGGCGUUGUGGGUGCUGGCCAUGUUACAUUAGGUGUUAGCUACUUCAUAACUGUACUUUCGCUGCUGUUAGGAAUCGUAGUGUAGAUAGCUGAUGUGUGACCCCUGGCCCAGUUACUUCAUCUCCUUGCCUUGAUUUCUUGUUUGAGAGGUGGAUGAUGAUAGAUAGCACUCGCCUCAGGCUUGUAGAGGUUACACGAGGAAAGGUAUCAAGUGUUUAAUGGAGUGCUGUCUGUCAUGUGCCGUUUGUAUUACUUCUGUUACUAAUCAACUCUGGGCCACUUCUUGACUGUUGUACUCAGAGUGCAGACUUUUAAAAAUAGCAAAUGGAGCAUCAUGGAGUGUGCUUUUGAAACAUGGGGGGCUAAGAGACUGGUAUCUCUGGCCAGCCUUAGGAAAGAACUAGCAUGCUUGUGUAUGGUGCCUGCAUGGGUGUGGAUUCCCAUGGAACAUUCCAGAAUCCAGCUGCUGUGAAAUGGGGGUGGAGUUCUUCAAGGACACCACAAUGUGUAUGUUUAUGGGGAUAACGUCUGCAUUGGGGUGCCUCUGUGUGUGGAUGGGGUUUGGGGGCCACAGGGCUUCCCCAAGAAAGGCCCCCAUUUCUGUUUCUCACUUAUAUGCCUAAGACCGUGCAAAACUCCUCUUAGGGACUUAAGUUGUUUCUUAGGCACAAACAGCUCCACAUUUAAGCACAUAAGACUGAGGCAGCAUGCAAAAUGCCUUACAUAUGAGUGCUUGAAACAGGUCACCUCAUGGGGUGGGUUUGAAAAUUCUGUAACAAUGUGUGGGAAAUGCCUAACCAGGCAUUAGGAGCAAAAUAACAGUGGUAACACUAAAGAAGGUAUUUUCC
rnacentral:lncRNA from 1 species